rnacentral:lncRNA from 1 species
CUGGAGCGGGCACCUGGCGCUCCCGCGCUGCGGCGCGCAGAGCUAGCUGCGGGGCUGGGGAAUCCGCGGCCACCGCCUCUAAUCCGCCCUUAAGUAGUCUCCGCCUGCGUCACGCCAGGUCGGCGGAGGGGAGCAGAGCGCGGCGUGCCGCUGUCGCCGAGCGUCGGAGCCCGAGGGGCCGCGGCCGCGCGCCGCGGGGGGAGGAGACGGUCUGGAGUCCCCCCGCUGCGCCGGAGAUGGGGAGACGGAGAACUGCAGCGCCCCUUGGGGCUUCUGAGGCGCCCAGGUAACCUCACCUGGCCGCCAGUCUCCCGCAGGAGGAACAGACACAUUGGUUCUACACCGAACCUAUUAACAGCUCAACUUCAAAUAUUUGGUAAGUGAAACCUCCCUGGAAGUUGACAGUUGUAAGAAUAUAGGUUGAUGUAUUGACCUCUGCUUUCCUGGGCAGUCUAUGCCUGGGAUGACAGAGGACAUGUAAUCUUCAUGGUGCUUUCCACAGCUCUUCAGCAUUGUGGAAAUGAAGCAUUUGUUGGAGGACUAUGAUGAAGACACACAGAACAUCAAAUUCUUGUGACCUAAGAGAGCUAGCUACACGUUCCCUGACUGGAGAUGGUCUCUGAUCUUCUUUAUGGUGUAAUUAUAUUUAAUGCAGAGAGGGAAAGGGGAUCCACUUGCCACAGAGGGAUCUUUACAUGUUAUGGAUUACUGGGGGAUGGAGGAUGUCCUGAUAACUACUGGUCCCUGCUGCUCUCCUCUUUCCUCUUUUCCUCUUCACUGUGGUCAUGACACAUGCUAACUAAGCCAGGUAGUGCUGCAGCAGCACAGCUUAGGCUGCGGCAUCAGCAUCAGCAAGGUGGCCUUGGAAAACUGAUCAGAGCCUGGGGCACAUCUCUCCUGGGAAGUGGCAACAUCUGCAGUCUCUUGGGAUUUGUGUGAUGCGGAGGGACUCCAUUCCACUUGGGAUUGGUCCCCACGUUAAAGUCUUUCACAUAUCAUUCACAGACAGUUAGAAGUAACUCAGCCUCACUUCCCCCAGUGGUCUACAUGCAUCUGUUCCCCAAUGGAAAUAUCAAACUGUCUUUUGAAGGGGAAAAACUAACCUGUCUUAGGAGACUUAAAAGAACAUAAAUGGCAAAUGAAAUCCAUUCUUUGGUGCAAAGGGAUAUCUCCCUUUUUAUCCUUUGUGCUUCUUUCAUAUGUUUAAAUCUCAGCCCAGAUUUUUAGAGGAACACUUGCCUUGAAGGAUACACAAAUUUACUGUCUCAAAGGGGAAUAAAGCUGUCCAACUUACUGAUCAUAAUAGUCCUAAAUAUGGCCAGAAUCUGUUGCUAUCUCAUGAACCCAAAAUCCAAACUGUGACUAUGUUUCUAACUGAUAGUCAAAUCUACCAUCUUUCUCCUGCUAGUCCUUUGAAUAGCAGAGUCUGUACCCCUUUAAAAAAAAUCACAUGUACAAAUUCCCCAUUCCUCACUUAUCUUGUGUAUAGAAAAUAUACCUUGCGCAGUAAUAUCUCAGGGAUUAACGUAAUAUGGUAUUGUGGCCAAAGCAGAUGUGUGAAAUCACAGCAAAUAAAUUAACACUCCAUUAAGAAUCAAAUCAGCCCUGCUGACACAUAAUCUUUCCCGUUUAUGUCAAGUCGUGAUUCCCAUUCACAUCGGGAGCGUCCCAGGGAGGCUCAUUAGACCUGCAGGAAGAGAUUUCUUUUAAGUCAAAGCUAUUCACAAGUUAUUCAGCUACAGUGAGGGCAAAAGAGCCUUCCUGGCGUCUGGGUACCCGCCUCUCCACGAUCUCUUUGUCACUGUCCACCCAAAGCCCCAGCCACGCAGGAUAUAGCUAGGCUUCCUGCUGAGUUUGCAGUCUGUAUAAAAGAGAUGAGGAAAUUACAGAGGAAAUAUGUGUGGGCAGGGCCUGCCCUUGAGAAAUUGUCAAACUGGGAGAAUAUCUUUUGGUUGCCAUCAGCACCCUGCCUCUGCUUCUUUUACACCAGACUGCCGUGCUGAAAGUCAGACCUCAGGGUUGAGUUCUUCCUGAUGCCUUAGCUACGCUUCCAGUAUUAUAGGGUGGGGUCAGAGUGAGUCCCCAGAGCUAACACUUAAGCCCCACGUGAACCCUACUGGCUGCUCCUUAACUUUCUGAAGCUGCCAACAUCUAUUUUGUCAGCGUCCCUGGGACUAAGUGUAGUCUAGUUCAGAGGUUGUUUUGUCAACCAGUGUGGCUUCGGGUCUCUCUUAAGCACCCACAACAAAGGCUUCUAUGGAGAGCUUCUUGUUUCUGCAGUGGAUUGAGACCAGAGAGGGACCAGCCUCAUUUGUCAGUCAUUCCGUGCUCAGUUUAAUUCAGUGGUUCUCAACCUGUGAGUCAUGACCCUUUUGGGGGCUGCAUAACAGAUAUCCUGCACAUCAGAUAUUUACAGCGUGAUUUAUAACAGUAGCAAAUUAGAGUUAAGAAGUAGCCAUUAAAUAAUUUUAUGGCCUGAGCAGUCACCAAAAUAUGAGGGGCUGUAUUUAUUAAAGAAUUGUAGCAUUAGAAAGAUUGGGAUUCUUUUGCUAUAUCCUCAUGUUUCUACCCUGAUGGGAUUCACCUUGAAUUUAUAUCCUGUUGACUAUUGAAUUCUCCAUCACUGUGCUUCGCCCACACUCACCCCUUACUCUCCCACCAAAGGAAAGUAAUCCAAUGAGGGAACACACACAGGGUGUUAAUAACUGAUAACCACUUAAUGUAUUAUCCUUCUCAAAGGAAUUAUCCUUAUUCAAGUUGCAAAACCUUCAUCCAAAGAAAUGAAGAUUUUUAGGGAGCUUUUGGAAUACUAUGCUUCAAGAAGUGAACAGCUAUUUGGGAGCAAGGGAUAUCUAAACCUUUCCAAAUGAUAUUGCACAAAAAGUACUUGCUUCAUUUAUUGCUCUAUAAAGGGCCCAACUUGUGGAAAUACGGGAACCACACAAAUGCAAUGAUUCUUAUAUUUACUGCAUCUUAAAACCACCAGGGAGCUUUGAAAGCUCACAGUACCUAAGCUCUACUCAGACCAAUAAAAAUCAGCGUUCCUGGAAGUGAAAUCUAUGCAUUCGUAUUUUCAUAAGGAAAAAUAUUUAGCUUAUUCUGGCUCCAAUAUGCAGUCGAAGUUAAGCUCCACUGUAAUAAUGAACACCAUUAACUGCAGAGUAGUGGUAGUCUUAACAAGCCCAGUGAAGCGGGCUUUCUCCCCACGAUGGGAAUGGCUGCUGCUGGACACAAAGCCAGAAUUUCAUUCUGAAAAUGUGUUCAUGUGGUUCUGUAAGUACUUAAUAUAAUCCACACAGGCUAAGUAGUUAGUUGCUAAACUGAAAACACCCAUCUCAUUUCAUCCCAGUCCACUCCUGGCCAUCUGGUCCUCUGAAUUUCCAUUACAGGGCCAUGUGUGUAUUAAUGAAAUGAUUGCAUCCGAUUACAUCUUUUAUUCAGAGCACAAGAACGGUCCAUGAAUUCUGUCCUCGAGCAUUACUGUUUUUGUCGUGAAGUCACUAAUUAAGUUUACUCCGUUUCAGGCAGAGGUGGGAUUGCAGUUCACUAAGGUAAGAAAGUAAAUCAAAUAUGUUACUGCUGAUAAUAAAAUUAUAAUUUUGCUGCCUAGCAACCACAGGGUAGACACUUCAAUCAAAAAUGUUACCUCAUUGUUUUCUGUUUGUUUCCUUUGUUUAAGACAGAGUUUCUCUGUAUAAUAGACUUGGCUGUCCUGGCACUCUCUUUAUAGGCCAAGCUGGCCUUGACAUCAGAGAUCUGCCUCCUCUGCCUCCCAAGUGCAUGUGCUACCACCACCCAUGGUAACUCUAUUUAAAACUGUUCAAAAUAUAGUUUAUAUUCUAAUCAACUUGUUACAAGUGGCAUAAAAGAGAACCACCAAGCAGUUGGGCUUGCUCUCUCUCCUUUCCUGCACUUCUUUAUAACAGGGUGGGUAGUCAGAGAGCCACAUGCCUGGAUUAUAUUACUUUGAAGUUGUUUAAUUGAGUAGGCAUCAGAAUGAAUAAAAAAACAGAAUGAUUAUAUGAGCCAGCUUGGUUACGCAAAUGUGAAAAUGCACAUUUUCCAGGGCAUGCUUUAGUGUGGCUCAACUGCUUUAUCAUUGGAGCUAGAAACAGAAGGCCAUCUCAGUUAAAAGCAAAUCCUGCUUGCCUCUGUUCUGGGACUGACCUGCGGUGGGUCACUUUGGAUGGCUUCCUUCUCGUCUUCACUGGCCUGUUCUGGUGUUUGCUCCUAGGAUUUGUCACGUGGAUCUUGACCUAUAUGAGUUGCUGAUAUUUUGCUCCUUCUCUAGUUCUCUAUUUCUUUUGCUCUUCUUUCUUGGAAAUUUCCUCAUUUUUUUUCUUCUACUUUUGUUGCAUUAAUUUUUUUCUGUAAUCAUAUUGUUAACGUCUAAGAAUUUAUUUGCAUUGACCUGUGUCAAGGUGGAAACAUCAGGGCAGAAGAACAUAACUGAUAAUAGCUGGUCACACCUAAGAAGCCAGGAAGCAGAGAGAAAUGGAGACCAGCCUACGAGGACACAUUCCUAGUGACCUUCUUCCCAACUUUGGGUUUCCACCAAUUCACAAGAACACCAUUAAUUAUGAAUUCAUCAACAAAUCAAUUCAUCAAUUAAGUUAAAGCUCCCAUGAUGCAAUCACUUCCCUACAUCCUCCCGUCUGAACAUCCUCGCCAUUGAGAACCAAGCCUUCAACACAUGAGUCUGGGCACAAUAAGUCACAUUGAAUCCAUUGAAGAUGUAAAUUUUAAUGGUUGAAAAUGACUAGCAUAUUAUGUCUGUGAAAUUCAGUAAAGGGGAAUAUGGAAGAGAACGUGUACUAAAACUAAGGGUUCUAGAACGCAUCUGUGCUCUUCCUUUCAAUCUGGAGAGUGAGACAAGGAAGUCUUAAGUUCAAGGCCAGCCUGGGCUAUGUAGUGUAUGCUACCAUUGGCUAUAUAAUUUGACUCCAGCAUUACAAGAAGUAGAGUAAAUAAAAGAUAAAAAAAAAUGACUAUAGAAGUAUCAAGAUAUUACGACUCAUUCAUAUGAUUUCUGCAAUUGAUUUAGUAUGGCAUAUGAUUUAGUAAUCAAAGUGGAUGAAGAUGAUAUAUAUGCAUUAAUAAGAAUAAGUAUGUGAGACUAAACACAGAAUGUCCACCAGACACUGGGCAGUAAUUAGAUUCAACUCUUGUAAAAAUGUUCAACAGGAAGAAAAAAAAACUAUAACUUUGCUUUAUACUUGGAUAGUUACUUUCAGUCAUACAGGUAUGGAAUAAAAUGAAAGGAAAAUGUAGAUGGGAUCUGAAGGCCAGCCUUCUAUUAUACUAUUAAAUUGUAGUGCAGGAAAGAAGAAGAGUUUGUUGUAUUUGAUGUUUUCCGAGGUUUUGUUUUUGUUUUUGAAGCAUCUUUUGUUUCACAGAUGCUGUUAAAUGUUGAACAUGACACAAUAAAAAGAAACAGACAAAAGUCACUGUCCUUGAGGAACUAGUAUGAAGAAAAAUCAGAUGUUAAUAAAACAAUCAUUCACAAGAUGAGCUUCUCAACCAUGUUUGGGAUGGUCUAGGGAUGAAACUGCUGGACAGCUGAGCCAUGGAGACUGGGGAGAGGCCUGCCUGGCUGAGACCAAGCCCUGCUGUACCAUCUGCAUUUGACAGUGAGGAUGCCCAUUGACAGGAAGCAGACGUAGAGAAAAGGAGAAUCAGAAUGAUCGACAGGCUUCAAAUCCUACCUCUAACACUUAACUACGUUCCGCACGUUUGGUCUCGGGCAGGCCAGUUAACUCAUCAAGACCCCAUUUUCACCCCCCUGAAAAGUGGCAUAGUAACUCAGUUCUAUUGAGUUACUGAGGACUGGCCCACAAAGAGACAAGCAAUGUAAGUCAGACGCAAGACAGACUGAACCUGCUCUGUCACCAUUCGAUACUUUUAGAGGUGGGAUUAGCUUUCUGUUUGGAAAAAUUGGGUCACUACCAUUCAUUCCUCCAUUCAACAAUGUUCUAUUGAUUAUGAAGCAGAGUUCAGUGGUAACUAGCACACAACAGGAUUUAUCCUCAGUGGUAAUUGUGGAAGUCAGAGACGUGGAACAUCCUUGGAAGGGAGAGGUGGUUUCACUGGGUUAUUUAGAAAUGGGCCAGAAAGCAUCUAAAUGGAGUUUCACAGAUAGCCUUUUUUGAAAUAUCAUUUAAGUUUUUGUUUUAUUUAUUUUUUUUUUUGGCAUCAUUGAAAUAUAUUCAUAUAGGCCAGGAUAAGCCCCCCUACAAAAUGGGUAACAGAAGAUGACCUUGAACUCCUGACAUCCCAAUUUCUACCUCCUGAGCGCUGAGACUGUAGGUGGCCUAAUUGUUUCUAAAGUAGAAUGGAUCUGAAGUUCCUGAACUUGCGUGCAAGCGUUUGACAGAGGCUGAUGAGAGAUUCCUGUCACUGUGUGUGUGCCGAAGUUCUCUGGAACUGGGACCGGUGAUAUUGAUCUGACCCUCUGCAGUGUUCCGAGGGCUUGCUUACCCACUCCAAGUCUGUGAGUCCUAAUGAAGCAGAGCUAAGUCCGCUGAAGACCACCUUUGGGAGGGUAUCUUUUGGCUUUGUGAUAAUAACCACAACCUGAGGAUGAUCGGAUGAUGAGUGCGGUUUUGACUUGCAUUUCCCUGGCUUUCAGAUCCUGGAGUGGCUGCUCCCUGAAGAGAGUCCUGGUCCUAGGAAUCUGGGAUUCUACCUGAAGUCCCAAAGAUGAACAAAUGGUAGAGAGGCACCUGACUGAGCCUGCUUCCUAACCGACUUCUCAGAACUGCCUGCCGCUGGGCUGCCUAACAGAAGCUCAAGUUCUGGGAUUCCACCCUUGAAGAGAACUGAAUCUGCACUUAACUUAGUGCGCCCUGUAGGUCAGGUUCCAAGAUUCCAGAAGGAGUAUCUGCCUUCGGACAUGAUAAGACCAGUUGUAACACGCCAUCUAAAAAGAUUCAGAAAGGAAGACAAGAGGAGGAGGAGGAGGAGGAAGGGGAGGUAGGCGCUGAUGGAGUCACUAAGCUUUAAUAAUCGAAGAAUGCAUUUUUCACUGGCCUCUGCCCUGGUAGAAGGCAGGGAAACCAGGAAGGAUUUCUGUUGAGCCUUUUUAAGUCCUUAAAAGGAGUGUGACCUUCAGGCAUCAAGUGCUCACUCUUUAGGAUCCUUCUUGGAACGCGUCCCUCUUAGCUCAGAUUUGGCUUGCUCCGCAUAUUAGCGGUGAGUCUAUUUAUGGGGUUUUGGUUUUUCAAGUGUUACCUGGAGCAAGCCCACUUUUCUUGGUUAGCCCAAACAUGGCAAUGCCCAAGCUAAGCUUCGCAGAGUUUCUGCUACCGGAAACAGUUACGUCAUGUAUAGUGGGUGAGCUGUGGACUUCGUUUCCAUUCACCUAGGUGAUGUGAAACUCCUCUGUUCCCUGUCAAAGAACAGACACACAUCAAACACAAGGCAGUGGUAUCAGGAAGGUUAAUCAUACAUGUUUAUAGAGCACUUCUUCAGGACUAAAUCUGAUUUGAGAUUUUCUGUGUAUGUACAGUCAACCAGAUUAAGUUGUAGAGACGCUAAACAGAAUGCCAGCUACAGGGCUCAUUCCACAGGUUUGUCCUUCCUCCUUCCUUCUUCUUUCCUUCCUUCCUUCCACAUGUAGUUCUUGCUACCCUGAAGCUCACUAUGUACGACAGACUGGCCCCAACACACUGAGAUCUGCGUGGUUCUGUCUCCCCGGUGCUGAGAUCAAAGGCACGUGUAUAGUUAGGGCACAGGACUUUUACUUAUAUGUUAUGGCUCUAGGUUUGUUUUCAUGGGAUUCCUGAUUGUGCCAGCAAUUGGGUCUCUGUGUCUACAUCUGUUUCUUUUGCCUUUUCUUUGACUCCCUCUCUUUUGUUUGUUUCGUUUGCCCUAUUCUGAUGUGUUAGUUUUUGUUUUAUCUUAUUAUAUUUUAUUAUUAUUCAUCAAGUGCCCUUCUGUUUUCUGAAGAGAAACAGAAAGGUGGUGAAUUUGCAUGGGGUGGGAGGCAUAGGAGAACUGGGAGGAGUAAAGAGAGAAGAGAUCAUAAUCAGGAUAUAUUGUAUGAAAAAAAAAACCAGACUAUUUUCAAUAAAACUACAACAAAAAAUGAAGAACAAAAAUAAUCCCACAAGAAGGAAGAGUAACCUUGAACUUAUGGUUCUCUCUGCUUAAGCUUCAUGAGUGUUGGUAGUGUGGGAUUGCACCAUGAGGAAGAUACUGUGGUGGGAUAGAACAGAUUGUGACAGAAAACUAAAAAGUCUCAACCAGAAGAAUUAGAAAGAAAGCAAGAAAGCAAGGAAGGAAGGAAGGAAAGAAGGAAGGAAGGAAGGAUGGUCGAGUUUAGGUCAAAGUUGUGGGCCCAGCCGAGAUGGGAGCAUCCCAGCCUUCCCAGGCACUCCCCCUCACUGUGAUGGACACCAGUGAAGGAACAUAGGAAGGCAAGUGUCAAUAACCUCCAACCUGAACCUUCAUGGCCACCUACCAUCCACAAGACAGAGCUGUGUAUAUUGGAGUCAGCUCUUCACCUGUGAUAUCAGCAGGGUCCGGAAGGGUGCUGAGCUUCCAUCAGCGAUGAGACUUAACAGGCAACAAACCCAAGGAGCGCUGUUGGCUUCCUACUGCCCAUACCCAUCUCUAGAAAGCAAACCAAUGGUGCGAGGUGCAGAACCUAGCCGAUUCUCUCCUCUCCCUCUCCUAAGCUCAGCAGCAGGGAGAGCUGACCUCCUGUUUUCACCUAGAAGCAGCAGAGCUGUGUGGGUCAGUCCCCUGCUUCCUGCCUCUCUGGACAAUGAAGUCUGCCAGGAGACUAAGUUUCAUUCCCUUUUGAAGGCAAUGGGUUUGCAAGAGUCAGGGCAUAUCUUUCCUCAGGAGAGGAUUUCCCCCUAAUAAAAUAAAGGUGUCAUAAAGACACUGGAACCUUUUGCUCUGCCAGUACAGACGUUGUUCCCUGUAUUCUCCCUCUCAUCUGGACUGCUUGGCUAUCUCAUACCUAGCUGCAGAGCCUAAUUGUUUCCUAUUGUUAGUGUUCCUGACCUUACAUCAACCUUCACACUCCUUUCUAACUCUAUGUCUGUUUUCAUCAUAGCACAUAUAAUUUGUGGUUGAUCUUCUUGUGUUGUUUUAGGUUGACUUAGUGGCCCCUUGUUAUCUACUAAUGAACUUGUGAUAAAAUAUGCCGAGUACACAAACUAAAAUUAUCUAUGAUUUGAGAAAAAAAGAAUCUAGCUACCAUUUAUAUUAUUGUAAAUACACAAAUAAAAUAAUGUAUGGGGUAUCUGGCUUAAAAUGCCAGAUGACUUUUGUCAUAUCACAAAGUAAGCAAAGUCUUUCAUCUUAGAGAGAAAUGAAAUUAUAUAUUUGAUCUUCUUGUUAUAUUUUCUUCAACUAAAAGCUGUCCAACUGCAUUUCUUUAGCAGAGAAUUCUUCCCAGGCCCAAAUGAAAAAUGAUAAACUGCACAAUGAGAUAUUUGGCUUCAAGCUUUGGCUUCAAGAAUCUACCAGGAGACUGGAAGGUG